rnacentral:rRNA from 1 species
UACGGAGGGGGCUAGCGUUAUUCGGAAUUACUGGGCGUAAAGCGCACGUAGGCGGAUUGGAAAGUUGGAGGUGAAAUCCCAGGGCUCAACCUUGGAACUGCCUUCAAAACUUCCAGUCUUGAGUUCGAGAGAGGUGAGUGGAAUUCCGAGUGUAGAGGUGAAAUUCGUAGAUAUUCGGAGGAACACCAGUGGCGAAGGCGGCUCACUGGCUCGAUACUGACGCUGAGGUGCGAAAGCGUGGGGAGCAAACAGG